CUGAUCCUCCCGUGCGUUUGUUAUAGUCUUCUGCAAAGAAGGCUGCGCAGACACUCUCUUACGCCACACCCAAAACACACACACACACACACACAAACGGACGUGCAGUUACGUUCACACACACGUGCUGAAGGACCCGAGAAAGGAUUGCAUCCCCACACCCCUCUCUCUUUCUCCCCGCUUUCAUGACACCUCUUCACUCCUUUGAGUACGCCUUCAUGGCGGGCGCGUCUUUCUCGCCCGAGGAGCGCGUCCAGCUGACCAACUCCCUCCCUCUUCUUAGUGUGCAGACGAAGCGCAAGGACCUGGUUCUCUGGGGCAAGAUAUUUGGAUACAAGGCAGACUACAUUAUCGUGGAAGCCUUCGAUGACGACGCGGUGGUGGAACCGGAACUGUACUAUACUCUCGACGAGGGCCGCACCUUCAGCCUGCUCGGCACCUUCUCCUCUGUAUUCUCCGUGUGCCCAGGCUACAGCAGCUGCAGCGGGCUGCGACAAGCGGAGUGGAAGCAGUUCAUGCUGCUCGGUAUGCGUGGCCCCUUCAUCGGGGACCCUGCGUACGAAUACCGCGUGAGCAACCACAGCAGCAGUGAUGGUGCACCGGAGAUUCUGAGCGUGAAAGAGUCGGUGCGCCUGGCCCUCUUCGUCGAGGAGUUUGACCACGAGUGCCGGGUUGUGCCACGUGGGGCGUACAUGAAGGCAGAGCGUCAGGCGACGGCGACGAUCGCGUCCACUACCGGAGCUGAGGUUGACGCGGGUGAGCGGGCUGAGGUUCGCCGCAACACUGCGUUUGGCGGACUUCCGCGAACGGCGGAGGGAGCGCUGUCGCUGCGGAACUACUAUCACCUGCGUGCCGUGAACCCGUACCGCCGCCUGCUAUUGCGCAAGCAGAACUCCCUCUUCACCAAGUCCGCGCUGGAGCAGCUCAGUGAGCACCCCCUCCUCGAUGCCGCCUUCGAGUCCUUGGCGGAGGACGUGCCGUCGGGGACGUGGCACCUGCGCUACGAUGCGUUUCACAAUGUCGUGAUGGGCCGCAACAUCCGCUUCAGCGGCUCCCUCUUCUACCACGUGCCCGAAACGUGUGUUUACGGUACUGUUUACAUGGGUGACGGCAACAUGAACAUCAAUGCCGCCUUCGAGAUGUAGAGCCGAGACUUAACAGGGUGGUGCUGGCAGCCGUAACGCGCGGCCGUUUUUUUUUUCUUUUUCAAAUCAUGUGUUUUGGUUUUCGCGUGUUGCGUGUGUCUCGAAGGGUGUGCGCACGGACUUCUGGGCUGGGUGGCCCUGUCACGGUCCGUCCUUUCUCACAGCCACACAAGCACGGAUGUACUAGUAGUGAGGUGGUUAUGCACAUAGGUGGCCGCGCGGGGCCCGCGCAUAGGACCCUCUCUCUGUCCUUCUUGUCUUUGUCGUUCGUCUCUUCGGAGGCGAAGCGAGGCUGCGAAGAGCGGGGUAUCCGUGGACGCAGUGUGGGGGUACGUUUGCGGCUGCUGCGCGCGGUGACACGCGCCUCUGUGUCUCUGAGGCAAUGCGCAGCUUCUCCUCCGGCCUUCGCCUUUUUCCUGCCUUGACUGUUCUUCGUUCAGUCAGAGUAGACGUUCUGUCUUGGUGCACCGCGGGCUUCG
rnacentral:misc_RNA from 1 species